ACCUAACAUGUGAAGAAUGCUCUUCAAGAAGAUUAUAGACCUUCAGGCCAAACUGAACAACAGUAACAACAAAACACUCCUACUCAGGAUAAGCGAAGGAACUUGCUGGAAAUAAAUAGGUUGAGAGGCAAGAGUCGACUGGUGUGCUGUCACAAAGGAACAAUCCAGCAUCGUCUAACCACCCCAACGGACAGCUACAAAAAUGAGGGCUAUGUUCUUCUUUGCCUCCACAGGCAUGUAUUAAUGAGGUAUCAAAAUCGACAUGCAUAUAUAGACGAAACGGGGGGCUGGGUAAGGAUGUGAUGCCUGAUAGCUGAGGGAGGCCUCCUGUGACUUCAGCAACUUUGCGGAUUUCCUCUGAACAGACCCAUUGAUGAGUUCUGCCUUCUCCGUAAGAACUGAAGCCCACUUAACAACAGCUACAGGCAACAUUCUGUUACAAAAGGUGCAGAGCCAGCAUGACGAAGCAGAGGAAAAGGAAGCGCUCUACUAUGGAGUCAGAUCUGUUCCUCCUUAUUACAGUUUCUAUAAUAGGAGAAGUUCUGAGAAAAAGCGACUCGAGAAUAUCAGCGACAGAAAAAACCAGGAGAAAGAGGGCUUUUAUGCUGUUUCCCUUCUAAAGCCUGCAGACCCUGUUAUUUUGGGUUCUCUUAUUAUCUGGUUUUGAUUUACGAGACUUGAGUACGAAUAAAGAUGGUGUGGAUCCUU